rnacentral:lncRNA from 1 species
AGGUAUUCAAUCAAGACUUUUACAAAAGUUAAAUAAAUCUUGUGGUAUUCAAUUAAGACAAAUAUGAUUUUUUUUCAGGGCAAUAAAAUCCGUUGGUAUUCAACUGAGAUUUGGUACUACUUUUAAAAUGUCUACUGGUAUUCAAAAGUCUACCGAUUUUGAUGGAUUCUUCUAUGGAAUGGAUUUUGAGAGACUUUUUAGUUGAAAAUACACUUGAUAGACUUUUUCAACAAUC